rnacentral:sRNA from 12 species
GGCUUCAACAUCCCCGCCGGUUGGGCGUCGCCUUCUUGGGUUAGCUUAAGAAGACGUGCAGUGAAUCGACUGGAGCC